CCCUUAGAUGUCCUGGGCUGCACGCGCGCUACACUGACACGUUCAACGAGUUUUGCCUGCUCCGAUGGGACUGGGUAAUCUUAUGAAAGCGUGUCGUGAUGGGGAUAGAUUAUUGCAAUUAUUAAUCUUCAACGAGGAAUUCCUAGUAAGUACAAGUCAUCAGCUUGUGCUGAUUACGUCCCUGCCCUUUGUACACACCGCCCGUCGCUCCUACCGAUUGGGUGAUCCGGUGAAUAACUCGGACUGCAGCUAUUCGGGAGACCGUUAGCUUGUGGAAAGUUUAGUAAAUCUUAUCACUUAGAGGAGGGAGAAGUCGUAACA
rnacentral:rRNA from 1 species